UACGUAGGCAGCGAGCGUUGUUCGGAGUUACUGGGCGUAAAGGGCUCGUAGGCGGCCGACUAAGUCAGACGUGAAAUCCCCCGGCUUAACCGGGGAACUGCGUCUGAUACUGGACGGCUUGAAUUCGGGAGAGGGAUGCGGAAUUCCAGGUGUAGCGGUGAAAUGCGUAGAUAUCUGGAGGAACACCGGUGGCGAAGGCGGCAUCCUGGACCGACAUUGACGCUGAGGAGCGAAAGCCAGGGGAGCAAACGGG
rnacentral:rRNA from 1 species